rnacentral:rRNA from 1 species
GACGAACGCUGGCGGCGUGCUUAACACAUGCAAGUCGAGCGGUAAGGCCCUUUCGGGGUACGACGAGCGGCGAACGGGUGAGUAACACGUGGGUGACCUGCCCUCAGCUCUGGGAUAAGCGUGGGAAACCGGGUCUAAUACUGGAUAUGACUCCAUGACGCAUGUUGUGGGGUGGAAAGCCUUGUGCGGCUGAGGAUGGGCCCGCGGCCUAUCAGCUUGUUGGUGGGGUGAGGCCUACCAAGGCGACGACGGGUAGCCGGCCUGAGAGGGCGACCGGCCACACUGGGACUGAGACACGGCCCAGACUCCUACGGGAGGCAGCAGUGGGGAAGUCUUGCGCAAUGGGCGAAAGCCUGACGCAGCGACGCCGCGUGAGGGAUGACGGCCU